rnacentral:tRNA from 1 species
CAUAGAGUAGUUUAGAUCAGAAUUCUAGCUUUGGGAGUUAGGGGUGGAAGUUAGAAUCUUUCCUCUUUGA